CUGAAAUGAAUGGCCUAUGGAGGACAUUUUCCAUUAAAUGGUCUUCAUCCUUCCAUACCGACAAUUGCAAACACGAAGAAUGCUGCAAAGCAAUUGUUAUAGACGGGCAUAUGAAAGGAACACGUUCAGUGUGCGCGGCUACGGAUGUAAGAACGACAGAAUCCGAAGAGCUUGGUAGCAUUUCCAUGGGUUGCUGGAAAAUGCCAGUGAAAGGAUCACUAUUUUGUGCUGCUCAUAAGAAUGCCAAGAAACCGGAAAAGAAUGAGGCAACGGCUCGAGGUCAGA